rnacentral:lncRNA from 11 species
GUGCUGUGAAUCUUCCCUUUGAUCUUCCCUUUGACUAAUCGUGUGAAAUGAAUCUUAACGCUUGAGUUAAUUGGGAUGAAUCAAGAAAGAAAGGGGAGGUGGAGGAAAAAAGUCACAUCGCGACCAGAAGGAAAGUCUUAAUGAAGCUCAUUAAAAGAAUUUAAUAAAUGAAUACACUUAUUUAAUCAAGACUUAGAGAAUGGCUUUCCCCUUCUUCCUCCUCCUGGACACCUUGGAAAUUAAUUUCACCAUCUUCACAAGGGACGUUUUCCUCCCACCUUCUCGGAUCCAUGCCAUCCCUUUGAAAGGAAACAGCCCUGAGAUGUCUCUUCGGUGUGAAAUUCUCAUUGCUGAAGAAUUUCAGCACAGGAUUAUAGAGAAUCUUAUAAGUUCCAAUUACUGUGCAUUUAGAGUAUAAUAUCACAAUGCCAAAACAAUUUCAGCGACAUGGUGGGCAGCGCGGAAUCCAUUGAAUUAUCAUUUGGAAGACAUUACUGCCCAAAUUAGCAAAUGCCAAAAUGAUUUUAAUGUUCAUUUAUGAUCUCCUCAUUAGAAUGCUAUUAACAUACCAUUAUUGUUUGAGGUUACAGUGACCUCUCCAUUUUAAUUCCACUCUUUGGGAGAGGCUCUUCGAAAAGCAUCUUCGGAGCAAGCCUUGUGUGUUGCUUGUUACACUUUAACAAGUCAGUGGUGACUAAUCUAGAUGUGUUCAUAGCAUGACCUCAUAUAUGGAAUUGUAUAAGCCUUUAUUGUAAAUACACAGCCUGGCUUUUUCAAGCAUUUAAAUUUAAAUGAUGGCUUCUAACCCUCUGGAUGUUGCUGUCGGGGUGAGCACCUGCUGUCAGCUCUAGCUUCUGUCAACCUAGUAGUUUGAAAGCAUGCAAUAGAGUAGAUCAAUAAGUAAUGCCUCGUCAGGAAGGUAAAAAAAGGCAUUCCAUACAGACAUUAUAUUCCGCAUUUGGCGGGGAUGAGUGAGAGGGUCUUCUCAGGGAUUGCCUUCAACUAUGGAACUCCCUUCCUGGUGAGAUAAGAUCAGCCCCCUCCCUUCUGUUCUUCAGAAAGAUAGGGGCCGGGCUGUGGCGCUGGCUGGUUAGUAGCCAGCUGCAAUGAAUCACUAUGACUAAGAGUUUGAGGCCAGCCCGUGUCGGAGUGAGCACCUGACUAUUAAAAUAAAAAAUAGCCCUGCUCAUUGUUGACCUAAGCAAUCCAAAAGAGAGUUGCAUCUAUCAAGUAGGAAAAGGAGCCCCGGUGGCAAAGUGUGUUAAAGCACUGAGCUGCUGAACGUGCAGACCGAAAGGUCCCAGGUUCAAAACCCGGGAGCGGAGUGAGCGCCCGCAGUUAGCUCCAGCUUCUGCCAACCUAGCAGUUCGAAAACAUACCAAUGUGAGUAGAUCAAUAGGUACCGCUCCGGCGGGAAGGUAACGGCGCUCCAUGCAGUCAUGCCGGCCACAUGACCUUGGAGGUGUCUACGGACAACGCCGGCUCUUCAGCUUAGAAAUGGAGAUGAGCACCAACCCCCAGAGUCAGACAUGACUGGACCUAAUGUCAGGGGAA